rnacentral:rRNA from 1 species
GACGAACGCUGGCGGCGUGCUUAACACAUGCAAGUCGAACGGAAAGGUCCUGCUUUUGUGCGUCGCUCGAGAGGCGAACGGGUGUGUGUCACGUGAGUAUCCUGCCCUUGUCUGUGGGAUAACUUCUGGAAACUGGGGCUAAUACCGGAUAGGAGCUCCUGCUGCAUGGUGGGGGUUGGAAAGAUUCGGCGGUGUGGGAUGGACUCGCGGGUUAUCAGCUUCUUGGUGGGGUAGUGGCUUACCAAGGCUUUGACGGGUAGCCGGCCUGAGAGGGUGAACGGCCACAUGAGGCCUGAGCUAGGGAGCAGACUGGAAUCGGAGGCAGUGGGGGAGAGCAUGACACAGCAGGGCGAAGCCUGAGGUGACGACGCCGCGUGCGGGAUGACGGCUUUCUGGUUGUAAACCGAUGUCGCAUGUGACGAGGCGUGAGUGACGGUAACGGGUAAAGAAGCACCGGCUAACUACGUG